GCCUUGUCCUUGAAAUGAAGUGCUUCAUUAACAUGGAUUUAUUUGUUUUGUAGUACCUAGCAAUGGUUUGUAGUACCAUUCUAGUAGUGUUUACACAUCCAAAUGGAUAUCUGCUUUGCUAUCAGCUUGAUUAUAUAAAAUGGAGUGACAGUUGUAAGGAGUGAUUAAUAAAUGUGGGUAUAGAAUACUGCAAAAUACGUUCAAGCUAGCACUGAAACUCUUUUUAUAAUAUUUAUUUCACACUAUUGAUUAUUACCAUCUUUAAGUCUAACCUAUAUGUUUUGCAGGAAGCAAAAGAAUUGUGGAAA
rnacentral:misc_RNA from 1 species